GUUUCAGCCUCAGAGAAUGCCACCCGUUGGUGUGGGCUGUCAGGGCCACAUCCCAGCCCGCUGUCAAGCUCACUGAGGGGAAGGUAUCCAAGAAGACGAUCAGACCGCCAAGGAGUGCGAUAGUCGGACUGAAGAGAUAGCCUUGCCCCCCAUCACGCAGCCUACCUACCCUGCACUGUAUCCAUCUCCUUGGCCUCCCUCACCAUCCAUCAGUCCCAUGGCUCUCAAGGCCUCCCAGUGUCUUUCGGUCGGGACUUGGCACUCAAUGGCACAACGAGACCGCCGCCUCCUGUGACCAUGUCCCCUUCUCGCCUCCACCUGCACAUUGAUUGGCUGGCCAUACUCAUCCACAAAGUGCAGCUCCUCUCGGUGUCGGUGACGAGAUGGUUCACGAGUCUUGGCCUGAGUGGGUCGCCUCAGCAGCCAUCAGAUCCAGUUAUGAUCUCCCUCGUCUCUCUGUCUUGCCUGUCAGAGGCCCUCAACUGUGUGUACGCUACAGGAGGUCAUCUGAGAAGGUGUUUGUUUACGCGCACCACAGCAUCAAUGGGUCCGGGAUAAAACCUCCUCUGACACACCAGAUAAUUGUGUGUUCCAGCGUUCAGAGGUGAAUGUGUGCCAGGAAACAUCCGUCCUGCCGUCGCUGCCGCGGAUUAUUCAGUUCUGCGUGUCUAAAGGGAGCGUCGAACCGCAGCCGGCCGAGCCUUGUGAUCAGCGAGGCGCUCAGCCAGGAAAGGUGGCGCUUAAUGAAAACACGGCUAAGCUUGGAGCUCUACGUCACUGAUCAGCACGAGGGAGAAAAGAUCCACAGACAUCAAUUACUGAGAUGUGGCUUCGCGCUGUAACAUGCAGACAGAAAUGAGGAGGAGUGCUCAGUAACCAGGACAAACACGCAACAAACACUUUCCAAGAAAAACUCAGUGACGGACUCAUUUAUGGAAGCGAGGCUGUAGCACUCCACGUAAUGUGUUCAAAUAGAAAAACAAAGCAGAUAAACCAAGUUGUCCUCCGCCUUUGCUUUGUGAGAGCGAUCUGUUUGCUCUGCUGCAGAUUAGUCACCACAGGAAGUCAUGCUCUGCUGGUUGUUGCUCUAAAGAAUUUAAAAUGUCCUCUGUACAAUCAAAUA